rnacentral:rRNA from 1 species
UACGUACCGUCCAAACGUUAUUCGGAUUUACUGGGCUUAAAGGGUGCGUAGGCGGCUCAGAAAGUAGGGUGUGAAAGCCCUCGGCUCAACCGAGGAAUUGCGCUCUAAACUACUGGGCUUGAGGAACGCAGAGGUAAGCGGAACUUACGGUGGAGCGGUGAAAUGCGUUGAUAUCGUAAGGAACACCAGGAGCGAAAGCGGCUUACUGGGCGUUUUCUGACGCUGAUGCACGAAAGCCAGGGGAGCGAACGGG